GACGGUCAGAUAACCGCUCCUGUUUAUAAAAACAGGGGAGGAACUUCCGGACUCCACAGGGUAAUGCGCCGCUUGAAAAGGCGGGCGGGUAAGUGUCAAAACUUAUCCGAUGGAAAGUGCCGCAGAAAAUAUACCGCCCGUAAGGGUAAGGGUGAAAAGGUGCGGUAAGAGCGCACCGCACGGUUGGCAACAAACGUGGCAAGGUAAACCCCGCAAGGAGCAAGGCCAAGCCGGUUCAUACGUGACCCGCGUUCGUAACCAAGUAGGCCGCCUAGAGUAAUGGUUAUCCGGCCCGCAAGGGCUGACAGAAUCUGGGGUAUAGACCGUCC
rnacentral:RNase_P_RNA from 1 species